rnacentral:rRNA from 1 species
GUCAUAUGCUUGUCUCAAAGAUUAAGCCAUGCAUGUCUCAGUACAAGCCAAAUUAAGGUGAAACCGCGAAAGGCUCAUUAAAUCAGUUAUGGUUCCUUAGAUCGUACCCACAAUUACUUGGAUAACUGUGGUAAUUCUAGAGCUAAUACAUGCAAACAGAGCUCCGACCGGAGACGGAAGGAGUGCUUUUAUUAGAUCAAAACCAAUCGGUGGCGGGUUCGCGCUCGUUAUCGUACAACUUGGUGACUCUGAAUAACUUUACGCUGAUCGCACGGUCAUCGCACCGGCGACGCAUCUUUCAAAUGUCUGCCUUAUCAACUGUCGAUGGUAGGUUCUGCGCCUACCAUGGUCGUAACGGGUAACGGGGAAUCAGGGUUCGAUUCCGGAGAGGGAGCCUGAGAAACGGCUACCACAUCCAAGGAAGGCAGCAGGCGCGCAAAUUACCCACUCCCGGCACGGGGAGGUAGUGACGAAAAAUAACGAUACGGGACUCAUCCGAGGCCCCGUAAUCGGAAUGAGUACACUCUAAACCCUUUAACGAGGAUCAAUUGGAGGGCAAGUCUGGUGCCAGCAGCCGCGG